UGGCGGCGUGCCUAAUACAUGCAAGUCGAGCGAGUGCGACUAACUGAUCCCUUCGGGGUGACGUUAGUGGAUCGAGCGGCGGACGGGUGAGUAAUACGUGGGCAACCUAGCUACAAGAUCGGGCUAACUCCGGGAAACCGGGGCAAAUACCGGAUGAUAUCUUCUUCGCAUGAAGAGGAAAUGAAAGGCGCCGUAAGCUGUCACUUGUAGAUGGGCCCGCCGCGCAUUAGCUAGUUGGAGAGGUAACGGCCCACCAUUGGCAACGAUGCGUAGCCGACCUGAGAGGGUGAUCAGCCACACUGGGACUGAGACACGGCCUAGACUCCUACGGGAGGCAGCAGUAGGGAAUGUUCCGCAAUGGACGAAAGUCUGAUGGAGCAACGCCGCGUGAGCGAUGAAGGUAUUCGGAUUGUAAAGCUCUGUAGUUAGGGAAGAACAAGUACAAGAGUAACUGCUUGUACCUUGACGGUACCUAACCAGAAAGCCCCGGCUAACUACGUGCCAGCAGCCGCGGUAAUACGUAGGUGGCAAGCGUUGUCCGGAUUUAUUGGGCGUAAAGCGCGCGCAGGCGGUCCUUUAAGUCUGAUGUGAAAGCCCAGGGCUUAACCGUGGAGGGUCAUUGGAAACUGGGGGACUUGAGUACAGAAGAGGAGAGUGGAAUUCCACGUGUAGCGGUGAAAUGCGUAGAGAUGUGGAGGAACACCAGUGGCGAAGGCGACUCUCUGGUCUGUAACUGACGCUGAGGCGCGAAAGCAUGGGUAGCGAACAGGAUUAGAUACCCUGGUAGUCCAUGCCGUAAACGAUGAGUGCUAGGUGUUAGGGGGU
rnacentral:rRNA from 1 species